GACAGAGGAGCCAAGCGUUGUCCGGAUUGACUGGGCGUAAAGCGCACGCAGGCGGUCGUGCACGUGGGGUGUGAAAACUGGCGGCUUAACUGCCAGAGGCCACCUCAUACGGCGCGACUCGAGCCCGGUGAGAGGUCCAUGGAAUUGCCGGUGUAGUGGUGAAAUGCGUAGAGAUCGGCAGGAACACCCAGGGAGAAUCAGUGGACUGGACACGGUGCUGACGCUCAGGUGCGAAAGCGUGGGGAGCGACCGG
rnacentral:rRNA from 1 species